GGCAUACAUUGCCCACGGUUUCCAAGUACUCAGGACGUACCUGUCCAAUCGAAACUGGUACACUUCAACAUUGUUCCCUCUGCAUACGCUGUGUCAGGUGUCAGCAGCCAACCAGGGCGCUCUGGAGCACUACACCUGCCAAUGUGUGCUACCAAUCAACUUGUUCAACGAGAAAAUAUUCGGAGUCUUGUGGUUUUACGUUGCAGCUCUGCUACCAUUAACUGUUUAUAGCACGCUGAUUUGGCUGUUCAGAUCAUCCCAAACGUCACGGAGGAGUUUUGUGAGGUAUUACCUGUGGCGGACAGGCCGUAUGGAGGGUGAGCGUCUUGAUCGGACGUGUCGUAACCUCCUCACCUAUCUCGGCUACGAUGGUCUACUAAUUCUGCGACUCAUCGAACUCAAUCACGGAACUGCAAUCCUUACUCUCAUCGUCGACAAACUCACCGAGUUUCAUGACCUUCUCGAGGUCACAAGAAGGCCCGAAGAAGGAGUUUACACCGCUUCUUCGUAUCUUUCGCUGUCGACUACGAGGCUUCUGAGCUAUUCCGGUCAGCGAAAUCUAGUAGCGGAUGUGUGUAAUGUGAGCCCGGAAGGUCAUCGAGCCUGGGGUGGAAGGUCAAGGUGUGACCUGACCAGGUCAAGGUCAGACCUGGGGAUUGGAGAUCAGAGUCCGGAAGGAGGAAGAGUGGAGCCGCCGAGGAAGAGAGGAGGAAUGAGAGCAGGGAGUAGGAUGAAUAAGAGGAAGAGCUUUAUGUUCUUCAGAUGAAAAGGUUGGCG